ACUUUUUAUUUCAAAAGCUAACAAAAAGUUACAUCCAAAAUUUAAAAACAAUAACCAAAUUAAUGUAUUUUUAGUUUUAAAAUGUUAUGUCUAAAUCUAUCAAUCAUUCAAUCAAUUAAAAAUAAAAAAAUUAGUUAAUUGAAAGUUAUAUUUUUAAAUACAAGAAAUUUGAGAAAUGAAAAAUUUAAUAUAUUUUUUCAAUAUCUAAAUAUCCGAAUCCGAUCCGAAAUAACCGAAUCCAAACUAAAAAUACCCAAACCCGACCCAAAAUUCAAAAAUACCCGAACGGAUUCUACACCUCUAUAUCGAAAUAUCCAAAAAUCCAAAAUAUCCGAUCCGAACCCAAACGCCACCCCUAGUUACAAUUGUGAUUUUGAAUAGUUUUAGUGGUGGACCCCAUACCAAAAGUUAUUCAUGUUGUUGGAACCGAAAAAUAAUUCAUCUUUUUGAGUUUGCUCUGUUGCUUUACCAACUACACAUUAUUAUUAUUUUAUUUUUUAAUGGUUACCUUUUUUAAUGCAUCACUGAUUUUGUUACGUCUCUGCUAUGUUUGUUAACAUCGAGAAGGAUAAGGUUAGUGUAUGCACCACUGAUUUCUUCGAUCGAGAGUCUUCUGAGGUUUACGCGGCUGUGAGGUUGGACAAGAAAAUGCUUCUGGUUAACGUCAGACAUAUCACUUAAAGUCUCAGACUUUUUGUGUGUUUAGAUCAUCUUGACUCGGUGGAUCCAAACGAAAUUGAGUUUUGUGUUAUGUUCCUCAGAUUGUUGUUCCUUUGGGUUACAUGUUCAUUUUUAGCAUGUUGUAGAACAUCCUUUCAAAAUGGAAUACAUGUACAUAAAUAUAAUUGUACGCGAACAUAGGUGUACAUGUAGAUAGCAUAAAACAAUGCACAGAAAAGGUGUACACAUGGAUAGUAGUUUAUUGUACAUCAUGUGAAUUUUGUUGGAUUACUCGAAUGUUGUGAUUCUUUUUGGUUAACUAGUUAAAAACAAAAAAGCUGGUAGAUAUAUGACAUUAUCAUUGGUUAAAUUUGUGUUGGCUAAAUCUACUAUACAUAGAGAAUUACUAAACAGAGAUUGUAUGUAUAAAAAUAUGGCGUACACAUGUACAAUAGGAAGUAUGUAACAUAUGGCUGUGUUUUUGGUCGACUAUAUAAAGUCUAUAUAUAUACCAACGAUAUUUCUACUCUAUGAGAAUCUACCAAAAAUUCAGAUACUUGCAACUCAAAGUUUUUAUGUACAUACAUUUCUAUGGUGGUAAAAUGACAACAGCCCAUUAGUUUAUUGUGUACAUGUAGAUAACAUUGCAUUUUGCCUUGGUGUCAUCUACGAUUACUCUACAAAAUACAUGAAACUAAAACAAGCUAGUGAAUUCUUUCUAUCAUUCGGCCAAUAAGCCACCCUUACCACUGCCUCCAUCUUGUGCUAGAGAAUUUUCAUCCUCGAAACGUUCAAUUGCAUGUUAUCAUGUUUACAUACAUAAAAGCAAAAGCAAAACACAAAAAUUAACAAGUGGCAUCAAAUCAAGACAAGACAAGUUUAUAUCUGUUAAAGAGAAGAAGAACAUGAAAGAACAAGAAUUUGUGGAGACAUAAGUUUAGGUAAAGUCAAAGAGGAACACUUUGAAACAUGACAUACCUUGCUAGGAGGAGCUAAUUAACGAUUUUCAGAUUAAAAGCUUUGGCCAGUUUUCGUUGAAACGCAAACAAAAAUUAUUCUGAAAUUCAAGGAGUUUAACACAAAUCAUAUAAAUAACUAGAAGAUAACAAGGUAUACAAAUAUUGAAUCUACCAAUAUUUUCACUGUCUGAAUAUGAAUUCGAGAUGUAAGCUUCUUGAUUAAAUUCACAGGAUUACAGCAUAAAGCUAAAUGCAAAGCAAUAACCUUUUAAAUCAACAUAGAUAUUAUCAGCUAAAUUAUCAAAGCUGAACAGAAAGUUGGAAACUUUGAUAUCUAUUAGCAUCUAUAGAUUAGGGGAAAACAACAGAACGACUUUUCUCGGGAAAAGUAACCCACCGAUGGAACAACACUGAGAUUUUCCUAUUGGACUACGUGCAUCGGAAAACAGAGAUACGGCGGCGGCUGCUUGAAUUACGAGCUAUGACGGUAUCCACCUUCUCGAUUUUGGCAUGAGCACAUCUCAUUUUCUUCCUUACUCCCCCUUCUGCAAAUCAAAUUAUUUCUCUCAUUUGUUACACUUUUUCCAUCAUCAAAAUACGAAAAUACUAGAGAGGAGAGAGGGGAGAGUUCAAAUUCUAGCAUUUAAUCAGACAGUAAUACGAGAGAGGAAAGAGUUCAAACGCUAUAGCAUUUAACUAGACAGGAGUAUUAGACCAACUCCAUCCAUUAGAACCCCUAAUGGGUUCUAAUGAUUAAAUUAAUUGGUUUUAAGGUGACUUGAUAAGUUAAGAACUUUGGUUAUUGGAAUUAAUUUUUGCUUCCUCCAAUGGGAGAACCCCAUAGGGGUUCUUAAAUUUUUUAAAAUUUUUUUUUGUUUUAAUUAGAAUGAUUUAAAAUAAAAGCAUACAUAAAAUUUUUGAUAAAAAUUACAUAAAACAUAUGAAAAUACAAAUACAAAUCAUAAACGAGAAAA